UGAAGUAAGUAAGGGCGUACGGUGAAUGCCUUGGUGCCAACAGGCGAAGAAGGACGCGGCAAGCUGCGAAAAGCCUCGGGAAGCUGCAAGCAAGCGAUGAUCCGGGGAUAUCCGAAUGGGGUAACCUGAUCGAGGCAAUACUCGAUCGUUCAUACCUGAAUACAUAGGGUAUGAAACGCGAAACCCGCUGAAGUGAAACAUCUCAGUAAGCGGAGGAAAAGAAAGAGAAAUCGAUUCCGUAAGUAGUGGCGAGCGAAAGCGGAUGGAGCCCAAACCGAAGGUAUUCCUUCGGGGUUGUAGGACCACGUCAUAUUCGACCAUACUGGAUAGUAGAACAGCCUGGAAAGGCUGGCCGGAGAAGGUGAAAGCCCUGUAGACGAAAUCCAGAGUGGGAAUUAGUGGUAUCCUGAGUAAUACAUCACACGUGGAACGAUGUAUGAACCCGCGCGGACCACCGCGCAAGGCUAAAUACUAGUUGGCGACCGAUAGUGAACAAGUACCGCGAGGGAAAGGUGAAAAGAACCGCUGUGAGCGGAGUGAAAUAGAACCUGAAACCGUAUGUCUACAAAGUGUCAGAGCAGAGCAAUCUGCGAUGGCGUGCCUUUUGUUUAAUGAGUCUGCGAGUCAGUGUUUGUGGCAAGACUAAGGGCUUCCGGCCCGGAGUCGCAGCGAAAGCAAGUCCGAACAGGGCGCAAUAAGUCGCAGGUACUGGACCCGAAGCGGAGGUGACCUACCCUUGGCCAGGUUGAAGCAUGGGUAAAACCAUGUGGAGGACCGAACAGGUGAACGUUGAAAAGUUCUCUGAUGAGCUGAGGGUAGGAGUGAAAGGCUAAUCAAACCCCGUGAUAGCUGGUUCUCUUCGAAAUGCAUUUAGGUGCAGCGUCACGUGCUGAUGCGCGGGGGUAGAGCACUGACAAGGCUAGGGGGCACACCCGCUUACCAAACCUUAUCAAACUCCGAAUACCGUGCAAUGGAACGUGGCAGUGAGACAGUGGGGGAUAAGCUUCAUUGUCGAGAGGGAAACAACCCAGACCAGCAGCUAAGGUGCCUAAAUAACGCUCAGUGGAAAGGAUGUGGGAUUACACAGACAGUGAGGAUGUUGGCUUAGAAGCAGCCACCAUUUAAAAAAUGCGUAAUAGCUUACUCAUCGAGUGAUCCUGCGCCGAAAAUGAUUGGCGAUCAAGCGUUAUACCGAAGCUCUGGACUUUGCCGCAAGGCAGAGUGGUAGAAGAGCGUUGCAUGCGCGUCGAAGGGCGAUGGCGACUGACCCUGGAGCACAUGCAAGUGAGUAUGCAGACAUGAGUAACGUUAAGCCGGGUGAAAUCCCCGGCCGCCGUAAACCUGAGGUUUCCAGGGCAACGUGUUUCGUCCCUGGGUUAGCCGGGACCUAAGCCGAGGCCGAGAGGCGUAGGCGAUGGACAUCAGGUUAAUAAUCCUGAGCUCGCAACCCUUAAACUGGGGGGACGCAUGAGAAAAGAUGACUAGGUUAUUGAAUUCCGAGUUGAGUCUACGGACUCAGCGCAUCAUUGGAUCGAGUGCCAAGAAAAGCCCCAGCGUAUGCUAAGCGACCCGUACCGCAAACCGACACAGGUGGGUGGGUAGAAUAUACCAAGGCGUAAGAGUGAAACCUGGUUAAGGAACUCGGCAAAUUAGCCCCGUAACUUCGGAAGAAGGGGUGCCUGCAGCGAUGCAGGCCGCAGAGAAAUGGCCCAACCGACUGUUUAUCAAAAACACAGCACUCUGCAAAGACGCAAGUCGAAGUAUAGGGUGUGACACGUGACCAAUGCCGAAAGAUUAAGGCAAGGGGUUAGCCGCAAGGCGAAGCUCUAAACCCAAGUCCCGGUGAAUGUCGGCCGUAACUAUAACGGUCCUAAGGUAGCGAAAUUCCUUGUCGGGUAAGUUCC
rnacentral:rRNA from 1 species